AACGUAGGACACGAGCGUUAUCCGGAGUUACUGGGCGUAAAGGGCGUUCAGGCGGGUGAUUAAGUUCGCUAUGAAAGCGCCGGGCUAAACCCGGCGAGGCUGGCGGAUACUGGUCAUCUGGAGUGAGGCAGAGGAAGGUAGAAUUCCGCGUGUAGUGGUGAAAUGCGUAGAGAUGCGGAGGAAUACCAGUGGCGAAGGCGGCCUUCUGGGCCUCAACUGACGCUGAAGCGCGAAAGCAUGGGGAGCGAACGGGAUUAGAAACCCGCGUAGUCC
rnacentral:rRNA from 1 species